rnacentral:rRNA from 1 species
UACGUAGGGGGCAAGCGUUGUCCGGAAUCAUUGGGCGUAAAGAGCGUGUAGGCGGUUCGGUAAGUCGGCUGUGAAAGUCCAGGGCUCAACCCUGGGAUGCCGGUCGAUACUGCCGGACUAGAGUUCGGAAGAGGCGAGUGGAAUUCCCGGUGUAGCGGUGAAAUGCGCAGAUAUCGGGAGGAACACCUAUGGCGAAGGCGGCUUGCUGGGCCAGUUCUGACGCUGAGGAGCGAAAGCGUGGGGAGCGAACAGG